UCUGCUACUCAGUGAUACUCUGUGCAGCAAAUUUCUAUGCAACACCACCAAAGUUGUCUCUGUGCUUUUUCAGGUGGUAAAUGUAAUGAGGGGUAGUUGCUUCUUCUUCCCUUUGGAAACCAUCACAGGAUCCUCAAUCAUAUCAGUCUUGGUGAUGAGAUCGGACCUGAAGUCAGCUGCUGAAGAUUCUGAAGAUGGUUCCUAGGAGCAGGUGAAGAUAUCCACAGAGCCUCUUUGUUUACAGCCUCUUCAGCACUCUCCAGAAUCUCUGUACCUGUAAGGAUACCAGCUUACCUGUUUUCAUCCAGUGGGAAGGAAACUCUGCAAGGAAGCCAUGACCGGUGCACGCGGUACAGUACCCGUUGACUGUGCUUUCUGUGUAAGCACAGAAAUCCUACAGCGGCCUUUCUAAAAAGUGUCCUUUGAGUAUCAGAGUGAGUCGCUGUAAAAAGACAAACUGGGUCACUUUUCAAAGCUGCCAGCUGGAAUCUUCACUGGAAAUUCUGCAGAAAUACCUGUUAAUGUUUCCAGUUGUUCAUGACCUUAAAAAAAUAAAAAAUAAAAAAAAAAUUGCUGGAUCAUUCAUUCUUAAAAAAUUAUUAUUGUAACUGUAUUGUUUUAGUGAUGUGAAGGUUCAUUUCCUGUUUCUUGUGAUUUAUGGUUCUACAUCUUUAGGAAUGGUAGCCAUUCUCCACAGGCAAACUGUAUAUUGAAAGGAAAGGAGUAAAAGAUAGUUAUCCCAUAUCCCAUAGAGUUGCUUUUAUCUGUGUGAAGAAUUCCCUUUUUCUUUGUCAUUACCUUAC